rnacentral:lncRNA from 1 species
GGUAUAUCCCAUAUGUUCAAGGAUCUUCUCAACAUCCUCAAGCCAAUACUUUACCUUAGUAGGAUCAACUCCCUUGACACCACUGAAUUCCUUACCACCUAUAGCUCGCAGAUGCUCUAAUGGAAAUCCUCGAUUGGUUCAAGCAACACUGGUACCAGUGACACAUUUAAAAUCCCCAAUCAAGGCUUAUACCAACGGUUC